UACGGGGGGGGCAAGCGUUGUUCGGAAUUACUGAGCGUAAAGGGCUCGUAGGCGGCCAACUAAGUCGGACGUGAAAUCCCCAGGCUCAACCUGGGAACUGCGUCCGAUACUGGAUGGCUUGAAUUCGGGAGAGGGAUGCAGAAUUCCAGGUGUAGCGGUGAAAUGCGUAGAUAUCUGGAGGAAUACCGGUGGCGAAGGCGGCAUCCUGGACCGACAUUGACGCUGAGGAGCGAAAGCUAGGGGAGCAAACGGG
rnacentral:rRNA from 1 species